AAACCAACAGGGAUUGCCUCAGUAGCGGCGAGUGAAGCGGCAAAAGCUCAGAUUUGAAAUCGCCUUUCGGGGCGAGUUGUAGAUUGCAGGUGGGAGAGUUUGUGGAGGCGCGUGCCGAAGUCCCUUGGAACAGGGCGCCAUUGAGGGUGAGAGCCCCGUGCGACGCGUGCCGAAGCUUUAACUCCCCUCUGACGAGUCGAGUUGUUUGGGAAUGCAGCUCUAAGUGGGUGGUAAAUUCCAUCUAAGGCUAAAUACUGGCGAGAGACCGAUAGCGAACAAGUACUGUGAAGGAAAGAUGAAAAGCACUUUGAAAAGAGAGUGAAACAGCACGUGAAAUUGUUGAAAGGGAAGGGUAUUGGGCUCGACAUGGGAAUUGCGCACCGCUGCUCCUUGUGGGCGGCGCUCUGGGCUUUUCCUGGGCCAGCAUCGGUUUUCGCCGCAGGAGAAGGGGCUGUGGAAUGUAGCUGCUUGCAGUGUUAUAGCCACUGGCCAGAUGCUGCGUGUGGGGACCGAGGGCUGCGACAUCUGUCUCGGAUGCUGGCACAACGGCGCAAUACCGC
rnacentral:rRNA from 1 species